rnacentral:rRNA from 1 species
AUGGCUAUAGCAGAGUUUCUUUUAUUCGUAUUAACAGCUAUUCUAGGGGGAAAGUUUUUAUGUGGUGCUAACGAUUUAAUAACUAUCUUUGUAGCUCCAGAAUGUUUCAUUUUAUGUUCCUACCUAUUGUCUGGAUAUACCAAGAGAGAUCUACGGUCUAAUGAGGGUACUAUGAAAUAUUUACAAAUGGGUGGGGCAAGCUCUUCUAUUCUAGUUCAUGGUUUCUCAUGGCUAUAUGGUUCAUCUGGGGGGAUCGAGCUGCAAGAAAUUGUGAACCGUCUUAUCAAUACACAAAUGUAUAACUCCCCAGGAAUUUCAAUUACACUUAUAUCCAUCACUGUAGGACUUGGGUUUAAGCUUUCCCCAGCCCCUUUUCAUCAAUGGACUCCUGACGUCUAUGAAGGAGUAGACUACGAGUUCGUUGCUUUUCUUUCUGUUACUUCGAAAGUAGCUGCUUCAGCUUCAGCCACGCGAAUUCUCGAUAUUCCUUUUUAUUUCUCAUCAAACAAAUGGCAUCUUCUUCUGGAAAUCCUAGCUAUUAUUAGCAUGAUUUUGGGUAAUCUCCUUGCUAUUACUCAAACAAGCAUGAAACGUAUGCUUGCAUAUUCGUCCAUAGGGCAAAUCGAAUAUGUAAUUGUUGGAAUAAUUGUUGGAGACUCAAAUGAUGGAUAUGCAAGCAUGAUAACUUAUAUGUUGUUCUAUAUCUUCAUGAAUCUAGGAACUUCUUCUUGCAUUGUAUUAUUUGGUCUACGUACCGAAACUGAUAACAUUCGAGACUAUGCAGGAUUAUACACGAAACCUUUUUUGGCUCUCUCUUUAGCCCUAUGUCUCUUAUCCCUAGGAGGCCUUCCUCCACUAGCAGGUUUCUUCAGAAAACUCUAUCUAUUCUGUGGAUGGCAAGCAGGCCUAUAUUUCUUGGUUUCAAUAGGACUCCUUACGAGCGUUCUUUCUAUCUACUAUUAUCUAAAAAUAAUCAAGUUAUUAAUGACUGGACGAAACCAAGAAAUAACCCCCUAUGUGCGAAAUGAUAGAAGAUCCCCUUUAAGAUCAAAAAAUUCCAUCAAAUUGAGUAUGCCUGUAUGUGUGAUAGCAUCUAUUAUACUAGGAAUAUCAGUGAACCCAAUUCUUGCAAUUGCUCAGGAUACCCUCUUUUAG